rnacentral:rRNA from 1 species
GACACGGCCCAGACUCCUACGGGAGGCAGCAGUGGGGAAUAUUGCGCAAUGGGGGCAACCCUGACGCAGCCAUGCCGCGUGAAUGAAGAAGGCCUUCGGGUUGUAAAGUUCUUUCGGUAGCGAGGAAGGCAUUUAGUUUAAUAGACUAGGUGAUUGACGUUAACUACAGAAGAAGCACCGGCUAACUCCGUGCCAGCAGCCGCGGUAAUACGGAGGGUGCGAGCGUUAAUCGGAAUAACUGGGCGUAAAGGGCACGCAGGCGGUGACUUAAGUGAGGUGUGAAAGCCCCGGGCUUAACCUGGGAAUUGCAUUUCAUACUGGGUCGCUAGAGUACUUUAGGGAGGGGUAGAAUUCCACGUGUAGCGGUGAAAUGCGUAGAGAUGUGGAGGAAUACCGAAGGCGAAGGCAGCCCCUUGGGAAUGUACUGACGCUCAUGUGCGAAAGCGUGGGGAGCAAACAGGAUUAGAUACCCUGGUAGUCCACGCUGUAAACGAUGUCGAUUUGGGGGUUGAACUUUAAGUUUGGCGCCCGUAGCUAACGUGAUAAAUCGACCGCCUGGGGAGUACGGCCGCAAGGUUAAAACUCAAAUGAAUUGACGGGGGCCCGCACAAGCGGUGGAGCAUGUGGUUUAAUUCGAUGCAACGCGAAGAACCUUACCUGGUCUUGACAUCCACAGAACUUUCCAGAGAUGGAUUGGUGCCUUCGGGAACUGUGAGACAGGUGCUGCAUGGCUGUCGUCAGCUCGUGUUGUGAAAUGUUGGGUUAAGUCCCGCAACGAGCGCAACCCUUAUCCUUUGUUGCCAGCGGUUAGGCCGGGAACUCAAAGGAGACUGCCAGUGAUAAACUGGAGGAAGGUGGGGAUGACGUCAAGUCAUCAUGGCCCUUACGACCAGGGCUACACACGUGCUACAAUGGCAUAUACAAAGAGAAGCGACCUCGCGAGAGCAAGCGGACCUCAUAAAGUAUGUCGUAGUCCGGAUUGGAGUCUGCAACUCGACUCCAUGAAGUCGGAAUCGCUAGUAAUCGUAGAUCAGAAUGCUACGGUGAAUACGUUCCCGGGCCUUGUACACACCGCCCGUCACACCAUGGGAGUGGGUUGCAAAAGAAGUAGGUAGCUUAACCUUCGGGAGGGCGCUUACCACUUUGUGAUUCAUGACUGGGGUGAAGUCGUAACAAGGUAACCGUAGGGGAACCUGCGGUUG